rnacentral:lncRNA from 1 species
GCGGUCACCAUGGAGACGGCAAACCCAGCCCCGGAGCUCCCCAGCUACCCCCAGCUCCGCCAGUCACCUGCAGGCCUCGGGUGGGAGGCCUGGGAAUGCCCUCCUCGCGGGCGCGGUCGCUGGGCAAGGGCCACCUUACCUCCCCGCCCCACACCUCUCCACCAGGCCCACAGCUCCGGCCACUUGGGAGGUUUCUUCACUGCCUCCUCCCCACCUCAAGCUCCCAGCUCACGCCUGGGGAAAGAGUUCCGAUUCCAACUCUGCUGCAGGAUGAAUUUAGUUGAGUCUCGGGCCCUCUCUGAGCCCGAACUUCUGCCUGGUAUCUCGAUAAUGACAAAGCCAUGCUGCUUGAUUUGUGGGAUCUUAGUUCCCCCACCAGGAAUUGAACCCGGGCCCUCGGUAGUGACAGCACCAACUCCUAACCACUGGACUGCCAGGGAAUUCCCUAAAAGAAUGUUACUGAAGUAUAACUGACAUGCACAAAGUGCAUAUAUUUAAAGUGUCCAACCUGAUAAGUUCUGACAUACAUAUAUACUCAUGCACCAUCACCACAUUUAAGAAAACUGUAUACUUCAUCACCCCUAAAAGUUUUAAUCUGUCCCUUGUAACCCCUCCCUCCCCUCUCUCUUACCCAGUGCUCAAGCACUCUAUAGAUCAGUUUGCAUUUUCUAGAAUUUUAUAUACUCGAGUACAGUAUAGACAGUAUAUAAUGUAUAGAGUAUAUACUCUUUUUUGGUAGUUUUUUCAGCCUAGUUUCUUUAAAUCAGCAUAAUUAUUCUGAGAAUGUUUGUUCCUUUUUAUUGCUGAGUAGUAGGAGGAUGUGGAUAUACUUCAAUUUGUUUAUCACUCACUUGUUGAUGGGCAUUUGGGUUGUUUACAAUUUGGGGUUAGUACAAAUAAAGCUGUUAUGAACACUUGUAUACAAGAAUUUCUAUGAAUCUAUGCUUUCAUUUCUUUUAGACAGACACUUAGAAGUGAAAUGACUGGGUCACAUAGUAGAUAUUUAUUUAACUUUAUAAGAAACUGCUAAACUCUUUUCCACAGUGAGUGCACCAUUUUACAUUCCCAUCAGGAGUGUUAAGACUCCAGUUCCGGGACUUCCCUGGUGGCACAGUGGUUAAGACUCCACGCUCCCAAUGCAGGGGGCGCAGGUUCGAUCCCUGGUCAGGGAACUAGAUCCCAUAUGCUGCAACUAAGACCUGGUGCAACCCAAUAAAUAAAUAAAUAUUCAAAAAAAAAAAAAAAAAAGACUCCAGUUCCUCCACAUCUUCUCUAACAGUUGUAUGCUCAUUUAUGAGAAUGGAUAAUAAAAGCUAAAAGUCACUCUAACAGAUGUGUUGUAGUGUCUCACUGUGGUAUUAAUUUGUAUUUUCCUAAUGACUAGAGAUGUCGAGCAUCUUUUCAUGUGCCUAUAUACCAUCCAUAUAUCUCCUUUGGUGAAGAUAUUCAUUUCUUUUGCUCAUAAAAAAAUUAUUUUUAGAUAAUUGUAGAUUCACAUGCAGUCCUAAGAAAUAAUAGAGACCCCUUGUAUUCUUCACCCAGUUUUCCUAAUGGUAGCAUCUUGCAUGACUACAGUACAAUAUCACAGUAAGAUUCCUCUGAUUUCUGCUGAAAUUCAGAUUUCACCUGAUUACGUGCACUUGUGAGUGUGUAUUUAGUUCUGUGCAAUUUUAUCGCAUGUGUAGAUUUGUGUGAUCAUCACCAGAGUGAACACACAGAGCAGUUCCAUUACAAGGAUCCCUCGUGCACCCUUUAAUCUUUUGUCCAUUUCUUUUAAUUUGGUUGUUUGUUUUAUUAUUGAGUUUUGAGAGUUCUUUAUAUAUUUUGAACAAAUAUCACUUGUGAGAUAUAUGAUUUAUGAAUGUUUCUCUAGUGUGUGUCUAUGCUUUUUAUCCUCUUAAUAAUGUCUUUUGAAGAACAGAAGUUUUAGGACUUCCCUGGUGGCACAGUGGUUAAGAAUCCGCCUGCCAAUGCAGGGGACAUGGGUUCGAUCCCUGGUCCAGGAACAUCCCACAGGCCAUGGAGCAGCUAAGCCCUUGCGCCACAACUAUUGAGCCUGCACUCUAGGGCCUGCAUGCUGCAACAACUGAAGCCUGCGUGCCUAGAGCCCAUGCUCUGCAGCAAGAGAAGCCACCGCGUUGAGAAGCCUGCGCACCGCAAUGAAGAGUAGCCCUUGCUUGCCCCACAACUAGAGAAAGCCGUGCACAGCAACGAAGGUGCAACACAGCCAAAAAAAAAAAAAGUUUUAAAUUUGAUGAAGUCCAAUUUAUCAAUUUUUAAUUUUAUGGGCUUCCCUGGUGGCGCAGUGGUUGAGAAUCUGCCUGCCAAUUCAGGGGACACGGGUUCGAGCCCUGGUCUGGGAAGAUCCCACAUGCCGCGGAGCAACUGGACCUGUGAGCCACAACUACUGAGCCUGCGCAUCUGGAGCCUGUGCUCCUCAACAAGAGAGGCCGCGAGAGUGAGAAGCCCGCGCACCGCGUUGAAGAGUGGUCCCCACUCCCCGCAACUAGAGAAAGCCCUCUCACAGAAACGAAGACCCAACACAGCCAAAAAUAAUAAAUAAAUAAAUAAAAAUUUUUUAAAAAUUUAAUUUUAUGAAUCAUGCUUUUCUUGUCGUAUGUAAAAAAUCUCUGCUUAACCCAAGAUCACAAAGCUUUUCUCUUAUAUUUUCCAGAAGUUUUAGGUUUUAGGUCUAUGAUCCAUUACACAUAGGUAUUUCUUGAAUAUAUUUUUAAACAGAAGUGUUUUUCAUGUACUACUUACUUUG